rnacentral:sRNA from 1 species
GUGGUCAGAUGUGAUGUACUGUGUAGGUGGUCAGAUGUGAUGUACUGUGUAGGUGGUCAGAUGUGAUGUACUGUGUAGGUGGUCAGAUGUGAGGUACUGUGUAGGUGGUCAGAUGUGAGGUACUGUGUAGGUGGUCAGAUGUGAUGUACUGUGUAGGUGGUCAGAUGUGAGGUACUGUGUAGGUGGUCAGAUGUGAUGUACUGUGUAGGUGGCCAGAGGUGAUGUACUGUGUAGGUGGUCAGAUGUGAUGUACUGUGUAGGUGGUCAGAUGUGAGGUACUGUGUAGGUGGUCAGAUGUGAUGUACUGUGUAGGUGGUCAGAUGUGAGGUACUGUGUAAGUCAC